rnacentral:rRNA from 1 species
GAUGAACGCUGGCGGCGUGCCUAAUACAUGCAAGUCGAGCGAACAGACGAGGAGCUUGCUCCUCUGACGUUAGCGGCGGACGGGUGAGUAACACGUGGAUAACCUACCUAUAAGACUGGGAUAACUUCGGGAAACCGGAGCUAAUACCGGAUAAUAUAUUGAACUGCAUGGUUCAAUAGUGAAAGACGGUUUUGCUGUCACUUAUAGAUGGAUCCGCGCCGCAUUAGCUAGUUGGUAAGGUAACGGCUUACCAAGGCGACGAUGCGUAGCCGACCUGAGAGGGUGAUCGGCCACACUGGAACUGAGACACGGUCCAGACUCCUACGGGAGGCAGCAGUAGGGAAUCUUCCGCAAUGGGCGAAAGCUUGACGGAGCAACGCCGCGUGAGUGAUGAAGGUCUUCGGAUCGUAAAACUCUGUUAUUAGGGAAGAACAAAUGUGUAAGUAACUAUGCACGUCUUGACGGUACCUAAUCAGAAAGCCACGGCUAACUACGUG